UGAGUCACGGCGAGGCAGCCAGACGCGUAGGUUCCUCUCAGGAACCCGGAGGAAACCUGAGCGCGGUCCCCGUUACCUAAUCCCUCGCUCAGGAUUUCCCUGCGCUCAGCGUUUCCGCCGCCGCCUCCGCGCGGGGUCCCUGAGGGGAGCCGGAAUCAGACCACGGUUUGUGUGUACUGCAUCAUCGGUGAGUCACCAGCCUCGAGAGAUGGCACGGCAAUGCAGGGCUGCAGUUAGAAAGAGUGUGACUGUAUGUAAUGAAGCCAGACAACAAGGCCGAGCGCAAUAAGAGAGAGAAGAACCAGCUGGGACCAGGUGCGGCUUGAAGAGAUGCCCAAGGAGUCUAAGAGCAAACACAAAGAGAGGGGAAAAGUUCAACUGUGAGGAAGAUCUACAGCUUUCCUCCCGAGACCCUCCAAGGGCAGAGAAUGUGCACCGAGGGGAGGAAAGCUCUUCAAGCUCAAUGGGAUAAUUAUUGUUCAAUUCACUAAAAUAAUUUCAGUUGCUUGAGUGAGAACAGUGAGAAUUCAAAAGGAAAACAGUGAGAAAGCUCUUGUUGAUGAGCUGCAUCACGCUCCAGGCGGAGAGAGUUGGCGUUGUUCAGCCUGGAGAAGGCUCCAAGGACACCUUAGAGCGACCUUCCAGUACCUGAAGGGGCUACAAGAAGUUCCAAACCACUCCAUGAUUCGCUAACAGUUACA